rnacentral:rRNA from 1 species
UACGAAGGGUGCAAACGUUGCUCGGAAUUAUUGGGCGUAAAGCGCACGUAGGCGGCAUUGCAAGUCGGAUGUGAAAUCCCUCGGCUUAACCAAGGAAGUGCAUCCGAAACUGCAGUGCUUGAGUACUUAAGAGGAUCGCGGAAUUCCCGGUGUAGAGGUGAAAUUCGUAGAUAUCGGGAGGAACACCAGUGGCGAAGGCGGCGACCUGGGCCAAUAUUGACGCUGAGGUGCGAAAGCGUGGGGAGCAAACAGG